AAGGAUUGUAAACUCCUUUUGUUAGAGAAGAUAAUGACGGUAUCUAACGAAUAAGCACCGGCUAACUCCGUGCCAGCAGCCGCGGUAAUACGGAGGGUGCAAGCGUUACUCGGAAUCACUGGGCGUAAAGAGCGCGUAGGCGGGAUAGUCAGUCAGGUGUGAAAUCCUAUGGCUUAACCAUAGAACUGCAUUUGAAACUACUAUUCUAGAGUGUGGGAGAGGUAGGUGGAAUUCUUGGUGUAGGGGUAAAAUCCGUAGAGAUCAAGAGGAAUACUCAUUGCGAAGGCGACCUGCUGGAACAUUAC
rnacentral:rRNA from 1 species